UAUUUACAUUUUCAUUAUGGAUUUAUUCUCAUUUCCAUUCGUAUAUAUAUAUAUAUAUAUAUAUAUGUAUAGAAAAAGACGGUUGAAUUGGUUGAAAUUGUGAGAGUUAUUGUGCUUGGUGGAGGUACCCGGAAAGCUUACAUAACGUUUAUGGCUCCUGAAUCUCUCAAUGGACCUCUUAUUGAGUACCAAGCCAAAGUGGUUACCUAUGCAAAAAACUUGAAACCUCCUGUUCCUAUCCUCUGCAGACCAAGUCCUAUACCCUCAAUCUAGCCAAGACACACUGGAGAAGGUGUGCGAGGAACUGGUGACUAGGAUCGAUGAACUCAAGGCAGAAACAAGGAGAAUAUGGGACUAGAUGGAGGAGGAGAGACGGAUGUUGCAAAUGGCUGAGAUGUGGAGGGAGGAAAAGGUUAGGGUUAGGUUGAGGGAUGCGAAACUUUCCUUGUAAGAAAAGUAUGAAGAGAUCAAUUGGUUUGUGGAUGACCUAGAAAAGUGUUUAGAGAUGGCUAAAGAAGUAGGAGGAGUUGAGUUGAUGAGAACGUUUGAUUAAGACGGCAAGAUUGUUGGAAGAUGCAGCUAAUGAUAUAAAUUUUGAGAAAUUAGGAAACUUCAGGAUGAGAGACGGGUUAUAAGAGGGAGCUAUGCGUGUCAAGGUUAGUGACCAGCUUAUCCUCUUUACCAUACAUCUAACUAUAUAUAACAUUAUCUUCAUCAUUUUGCUUUUCUUUGGCAGAUGGAGAAAACAGCUCGUUUGAAAGCAGAAACAAAGGAGAGAACACUUAAAAAGUUUCUUCUUUCUCAGAAAGACGUGGUGUACACGGAGCCUCUAGAGAUUCAAGCGGGAAGAUCGGUGACGGUUUUCUACAGACCUUCGAACACGGUUUUGAAUGGGAAGCCUGAGGUUUGGUUUAGAGGCUCUUUUAAUCGGUGGACUCACCGCUUGGGUCCUUUGCCUCCUCAGAAAAUGGAGGCAGCUGAUGAUGGAAGCUCCCACGUGAAGACUUCAGCUAAGGUCCCAUUAGAUGCUUACAUGAUGGACUUUGUUUUCUCCGAGAAAGAGGAUGGUGGAGUGUUUGAUAACAGAUAUGGUUUGGACUACCACUUACCGGUAGUGGGAGGUAUCGCCAAGGAGCCACCAUUGCACAUUGUUCAUAUUGCUGUUGAAAUGGCACCCAUUGCAAAGGUAACCGUAAGACUAAAACCAGUGUAAGCUUGUCAGGAAUAGGCACAGAUGGAUAUAGACUACAAAAAACGUGUUCAUUGUCUUGCUUUUGACCCUCCAUUUCAGAUGAGUUGAGUUGAGUUUGAUUUAAGUUCAGUCAAAAGAGUGGAUGAAUAUAAAUAGGAGUGUUUUUCUUGUUCACGUGUCAUGUCAAACCAAAACUGGUAACUAAGAGGAAAGUAGAGGUUAGUCCUUCUUUUGCCCUCUUAGACAGACAUAGGUGAAGUUUUGUUGAGUCACUGAAUUGUUGUUCAUAGUUUUUUUUUUUUUUUUUCUUCAAAUUGGAAGUUAUUUCUAAUAUUUUCGAGGUGUAAUUUUUUUUUCCCAAAUCUCCAUCUAAACCAUAUUUCUCAUUAAAGUUUUGUUUAAUUAUUCAGAUUUUUUACAAUGCAAUAUUUUAUAAGAUCUUCACCAACACAAACGAUCUACUAAGAGAAAUUUUCUUUUGUUAAACAGAAGAUUGUUGUUCAAAGAAUGAAAAUAUAUAUUGAAAGAAAUUUGAUGAUGGCAUAUUUGAUGGGCGGGAGGGACUACAACCAAUAAUAAUUAUGAUUGUGGGCAUUAUUAUUAAUAGAAAAUAAUAAAAAAGUUUAGAGGAUGAAAAUUUAAACGAAUAUUGAUACAUUUUAAAUUAUUUUGAUAAAAUAUUUGUAAAUAAAAUAAUAAAUAAUACGGAAUUUUAGUAAAUCAAAAAAAAAAUAUUCAUUAAAUAAGGAUUGUAGAAGGAAAAAGAAAUAUAUGAAGGGCUUGUUUCUCAUCACUUUCUUUUUGGGCUUUGAUAUGGGCUUGGAGUCCACUUUAAACUAAAUCAAAUUGGCCCUAUAAGCAUAAUAAUCUAUAAUAAUAAAAUAAAUAGGAUUUCCCAAAUAGUGUUUGUUUGUUCGUUCGUUCGUUUCUCCAGCGAAGCGAGCUCCGACGAGGGAAUCCCUGGCGGAAGAAGAGCAAUCGUCGCCCAUGAAGAAACAGAAGGUCGAAGAGGAAGAGAAGAUAUACAGUGAUACACACGUGCCCGAGCUGGGUUGUAAACCCCAGUGGGAUGUGGACAGCUACGAUGGUCGCGAGUACGAAUCAGAUCCCGAGGAUAGAAAGUUGUUCUCUGACGACGAAGAGUAUGAGAAGUACCGUCGCGAAAGACGCAGGGCUUUCGAUAGUAAGGUAAUUUUGAUUGUUUUAUUUUCUUGCCAGAUUCAGAAAAAAAAAAACGAUUUAUUCACUUUUUAAAAAAAAAAAAUUAAUUUUAGGGUUUUAUUUAUGAACCUCUGAGCGGAAACUAUCCAAUUAAAGAUCUGGAAGCAUUAGUGUAUCCCAACGUGACUAGUCGGGAGUUGAUGACAGAUCUUGCCAACUUGUGUGUUAAGAAACUCAACGAGACUGAGGUUAGACUCAUUCUCAUCAAAUAAUAAUUAAUAUGUAUUUACAUUUUCAUUAUGGAUUUAUUCUCAUUUCCAUUCGUAUAUAUAUAUAUAUAUAUAUAUAUGUAUAGAAAAAGACGGUUGAAUUGGUUGAAAUUGUGAGAGUUAUUGUGCUUGGUGGAGGUACCCGGAAAGCUUACAUAACGUUUAUGGCUCCUGAAUCUCUCAAUGGACCUCUUAUUGAGUACCAAGCCAAAGUGGUUACCUAUGCAAAAAACUUGAAACCUCCUGUUCCUAUCCUCUGCAGACCAAGUCCUAUAC
rnacentral:lncRNA from 1 species